GACGAACGCUGGCGGCGUGCUUAACACAUGCAAGUCGAACGGAAAGGCCCUGCUUUUGUGGGGUGCUCGAGUGGCGAACGGGUGAGUAACACGUGAGUAACCUGCCCUUGACUUUGGGAUAACUUCAGGAAACUGGGGCUAAUACCGGAUAGGAGCUCCUGCUGCAUGGUGGGGGUUGGAAAGUUUCGGCGGUUGUGGAUGGACUCGCGGCUUAUCAGCUUGUUGGUGGGGUAGUGGCUUACCAAGGCUUUGACGGGUAGCCGGCCUGAGAGGGUGACCGGCGACAUUGGGACUGAGAUACGGCCCAGACUCCUACGGGAGGCAGAAGUGGGGAAUAUUGCACAAUGGGCGGAAGCCUGAUGCAGCAACGCCGCGUGCGGGAUGACGGCCUUCGGGUUGUGAACCGCUUUCGCCUGUGACGAAGCGUGAGUGACGGUAAUGGGUAAAGAAGCACCGGCUAACUACGUG
rnacentral:rRNA from 1 species